rnacentral:snoRNA from 1 species
AUCCUUUUGUGGCUCAUAAGCAUAAUGAAUGGGUAUUCAUGCAGUUGUGUGAGAUGUGCCUCCCUCACACCUUGUUACAAUGUCAGCACAUUACCCAUCUGACA